UACGAAGGGGGGCUAGCGUUGUUCGGAUUUACUGGGCGUAAAGCGCACGUAGGCGGAUCGUUAAGUCAGGGGGUGAAAUCCUGGGGCUCAACCCCAGAACUGCCUUGGAUACUGGCGAUCUCGAGUCCGGAAGAGGUGAGUGGAACUCCUAGUGUAGAGGUGGAAUUCGUAGAUAUUAGGAAGAACACCAGUGGCGAAGGCGGCUCGCUGGUCCGUACUGACGCUGAGGUGCGAAACGUGGG
rnacentral:rRNA from 1 species